CACAGAUAUAUACAUUGAAAAUUUAUCUUCCCCUAACUCUGGUGCACCCUCUCGCAGUUUUUCUACAAAACAACCAAAGGGACGCGUGCCGUCUUUUUUAUCUGAGUGCAUUUUGCGGAAUAGUUGCUAUCUGAGGACUCUGGAAAAAAAAAAAAAAAAAAGAAGGAAUCGGUGAUAUCUUGUUCGAAAACAGAUACACCAUAUAUACCGUAUCAGUGCAACCGCGUAUUCUCUCACUCACGGUGGUAUUAGGCCGUAUGAGUAAAGGAAAGAAGGUGAAGGAGGGUGAGGUCGAAGGGGAAAACGAAGAAGGGGCAGAUGGUAGCGUCUUCUUCGCAGCCAAGUGGCAGCGGGCACGCGCCAAUCGAGUCCGAAAGAACAUCUGCCGCUAGGUUCCCAGGAGUACAAGAGAACCACCGACUCGCAGGCAACAGGCCAUCUUCUAACAACCAGUCAGUCAGUUUCUUCUUUCCUAUGCUUUUUUCACCUACCACCUACUUCACCACGCGCCCGACUUCCCCCUCCACCGGCUUUUCCUUUCUCCUUCUCCUAAGCUUAAUUCUCAGACCAUCUACUUUCCUUCCUCAGACCCUCCCUCCUCCGCGAGAGCGGUUUCCUUUCAGUUUUCACAGAUGCUGCAUGGAUCUUCCAGAUCUGGAAAAGAGGAGGAACAGUCGGUGGAACAGUUGUCACGUUGAUUUUUCACUUGGAAAAGGUGGUUGGCAGACGGUGGGAGAAAGGUGGUCUAGGAGGUUUGGCCUGAUCAAUUUUCUUAACGAUGGCACGUGGUACUGUGCUACCACCAGUUUCCUAGUGGCAACUUUGCAGAUGAAUUUUUAAUGGAGUGUCUCAAUAAUACCAAAAGAAUUGCAACAAAUCUACUUCAAUUCUUACUUUAAUUCUACUAAUGGCAGAUGCGAGUACUUCAACAUAAGGAACGUUCAAUGGCAAAUAUUCUUUAUAGAGCAAGAUUCUUUAAGGUUGACACCGGUUUUCCUUCCACCGAUUCUCCUUUUCUUCUCCUUCCAAUGCAGAUGCAGUUUUUCCAUUAUGUCUCGAGGUCCUCGUGCCACCAGUCACCUCUCCCAUCCAUCCCCCACGGCGACUUUCGAUCUUUACAGAUCGCGCACGUGCUCGAUACCACCUCCCAGGUUUUCUCUUCCUCCUCGAUGAUCCUUUGUAUCUUGCGAGGAGGAAAUCCGUCGCGAUCUUAAGCUCGUCAUGCACGACGUGGUUCCAUUGUGAAGCGGUACAAUGAUCUGAGGGGAGGGGGAGGGGGGCGUAGCCCAUCUCGGAUUCGAAAGUCUCGAGUGGGAGUUGAAGCGUAAAGACAUUUUUUUUUUUUAAUAUAUGAAAGACAACUCUAUGUUCGCAACUUAUGUGCUUAUUUUCUUUUCUCUGGAA